CAGCAGUCGCCACGGUAAUACGAAGAGUGCAAGCGUUAAUCGGAAUUACUGGGCGUAAAGCGUGCGUAGGCGGUUUGUUAAGUCUGUUGUGAAAUCCCCGGGCUCAACCUGGGAAUGGCAAUGGAUACUGGCAAGCUAGAGUGUGUCAGAGGAUGGUGGAAUUCCCGGUGUAGCGGUGAGAUGCGUAGAGAUCGGGAGGAACAUCAGUGGCGAAGGCGGCCAUCUGGGACAACACUGACGCUGAGGCACGAAAGCGUGGGGAGCAAACAGGAUUAGAUACCCCCGUAGUCCCUGUCUCUUAUCA
rnacentral:rRNA from 1 species